AAGGGCUCUGCGGAGGUGCCGGACGUGUCCUUGGCGCAAGGGAGCGUGGGAUCGCGGAGGACCGAGAGCGGCUGGCUGGGGCUGCCUACCUCCGGAGCCGGGCAAGAAGGAGUCACCACAGAGUACACUGUUUGUGACUGGAACAUUGGGAAUGCCUCCACUAUUGAGAAUCUGAUGGCACCAGGCAAUAGUAGUUCUCCCUGAAAUCUGAAUGCUUUUAAAAGAAAAUUGCAUCCUAUUCUGGAUCAUCAUCUCUGGCAAAUAAUACCUACUACAAGAUAUGCAGCAGAAGCAGACAUCUAUAUUCCAUGACUCCACCGUAAACAAGAGAGCUCCGGUCACAAGAGAGAAUAAAAUGAAGCUGCCGCUAAAUUGAAAGAAAACUUUGUCUCUCAUACAUUCAUGUUUCUAAAGACAUGGUCACGGCUGCCUGAAGCAUGUCUUCUUCACUCAUAGCAUCUCCUGUUGGGAAAGAAAACAAGCAUCUCUCUUAGACAUUUCUGGAAAAUUCUCAAAGUCAUCAAAAGUUUAUUCUCAGGCAUGCGGGGCUAAUGAUGCCUAAGAUGGCAGAACGCUCCCACCAGCAUACCCUGAGUCUGGGAUGUGCACAAGACAGGCUUGCGAGGCAGGAGGAACAUCUUGGCCCAUCAGCUCUCUCUCCAUGCCCUUUCCCCCUUCAAUCAAGAUAGUAUAUCAGAACAAAGGAGCAUGGUAGGUGAGGCAGUGACCUUAAGAGAGAUAACCUUUAUUCUACUUUAAAUUUAUGAAAAGUGAGAAGUAAAUGAAUUGCCAACCUUGAAACAAUUUUGACACUUUUCAUAUUUGAUGACACAGUAAUAUGCAACAUGUUUGAACAGCAAAGCGGCACCAUUUUCACUGUGGCUUUGAAUGUGCCCUCGGAAUCGGAGGCUAGAAAGCUAAAAACAUCAUCUUAGGUCUCUGUACAGCUAGGAUUCUGGUUAUCAAUUAAGCACUCGCAGAAAUGAGACACAAACAUCCUCCUGCUGCUUUGGCUGUUCUCUGCUGGCAAGUCAAGUCAGGGAGCUGCCAUGCCAGGAUUCUGCUUCAUGCCAGCUGCAGUGGGGGCCAGAUUUUGUGUUCCCAUGUCUAGGCAACUGUGGUGGCAGCUUCCUGAUCCUAGGAUGACAGCCAUAGCAGUGUGUUCUUCAACCCCAUAUAUCCCAAUUCCCCAUGAUGACAACUGGGGCAGUGGACACAGCUCUUCGGAAUUCUGGAAGCCUGGCCUAAAGACUGUACCUCCAGCUCUUCCUAAGACUGGGUAAGUGCUGAGUUUCUGUACUAAGUAUUUUCCUGCUUAAAAAACCUCUACUAGCUUGUUUCUUAAACUGAAUUCUGUUAUGCCAUGUCACUGGGCACUGAGUUCAAGGUUUAAACAAUGAAAAAAAUCACAGCAAUCCAUGACCAUGAAGACAAUGCCAGUAAUUCCCUCUUUGUUGGGAAAUGUUUUUUAGUAACAGAGGAAAGAAUUUGUAUCAUUUCAGAGCUACACGUGGAGAAGAAUUAAAAAUUCUUGGGAACUAAGGUAUUUGUGAAAUACUUUACAGUUUACACAAUAGUUUUACACGCUUUGUCUAAUUUGACACUCAAUUUGUGAGUUUUUAAGGUAGGUUUUAUAGUGACAUUGCUGAUAUAUAGUAAGAGUUUUACCUGGGGUUUAGUAAUAGGUAAUGGGUUUAGAGAUUACUACUGGAAAAUAUAUCUUGGCUAUGAACAUAUUACUUAAUAUUCAUUAACAAUGACUUUGUUGGUUUGUUUUUAAGAUUUAUUUCAGUGAGAGGGAGAGAGAAUGCCCAUAUGUGCAUAUGGGGGCAAAGGGAGAGAGAGAGAAGCAGACUCCCUGCUGAGCGGGGAGCCCAAUGCAGCGCUGGAUCUCACAACCUUGAGAUCAUGACCUCAGCAGAAAUCAAAAGAGUUGGACACUUAGCCAACUGACCCACCCAGGUGCCCCCAUUGACUAUGACUUUGUAACAAGUAGGUUUUUAAACAGUACUUUUAUGCUUGGUGCAUGAAUACUGUGGUUACUACAUUAGACAUGAAGCUUCAAAUACCGUAUAGGGGGAAAAAAAAACUAUUUGAAUGAAUAAUAAACCCUUUGAAUGGGGGAAAAAAAAACACCCUUAUUUUGAAUUCAAAAUUUGUUUGAAUAACAAGUUAGCACCAGGGCCCAUUUAGAGAGGGUCAGCAGGAACGAAGAGUUAGCUCAAUAACCUUAGAGCUCAGUUCCCAAAGACUGAAGCUUGUAGUCUAAGUAAUCAGGAAUUCUAGUGAAAGGCCUAAUAUUAGAGACUAAUAUUGUUUCUCAGCUCCUUUACUAACAAGUCUUACAAGAUUCCGAAUGCUAGACAAUGCUGAAAAGAAACAUCAGAAGUCAGCUCUUAACUCUUUUCAGCAACAUGUGACUGUUAAACAUUCUCUAGUUCUCCUUAAGUUCCCAGCAAUAUUUUCAAGAUCAGACCAGGAGGCAGAUGAUGAAACUGAAGCUGGAAACCAUCAAUGCACAUCUUCCUACCCAGUCAACUACCCUCCAACCUGGAAGGAGCUGCAUUGACACUCAAACAUUUUAAAUCCUCUCUACGAUAAAGAUGAAAUGUAUUAAAGUUCCACAUUUUCAACCCGCCCAACUGCCACAAAAAAAAUAAAAAAAAAAAAAUUUUUUUUAAAAAUAAAAAAGGGAUUUGUUUUUUAAAGUAUAAAAAAUUUUCUUUUUCUUAGGUCUACUUGUGAAUUUUGUAGUUUUGCUAUAAAGUAUAUCUGUUCGGGGCACCUGGGUGGCUCAGUGGGUUAAGCCUCUGCCUUCAGCUCAGGUCAUAGUCUCAGGGUCCUGGGAUCAAGCCCUGCAUUGGGCUCUCUGCUCAGCAGGGAGCCUGCUUCCCUCUCCCUUUCUGCCUGCCUCUCUGCCUACUUGUGAUCUCUCUGUCAAAUAAAUAAAUAAAAUAUUAAAAAAAAAUAAAGUAUAUCUGUUUGGACCAAUUUAAUCUGGCAAAAAAUGGAAUGUGAAAUAAGCAUGAUAGAAGUAUCA